GACUUGUGUGUGUUGCUGUUCAGCGGUCUGCAUUCAAAAGAGUGUUACGACAUGCGGCAGUGGCGCCGUAAAAUCUUCAACUGGAUCGCAACUGGACUUAAUUGCCUGGUUGCAGUCAUUCGGUUGAUCGUUUACUGUGAGAAAAUUGGAGUGUUCAAGGCAGGCGUGGAUUGCAACUGAACAUGUUAGCAUGGAAUAAUAAGAUAGGGCUCCGGCUCAUAUUUUGUUGGUUUCUAGAUCGGAAGUAAUGAUUGAUAGGGACAGUUGGGGGUGCUAGUAUUCAGCGGCCAGAGGUGAAAUUCAUGGAUUCGCUGAAGACUAACUUAUGCGAAAGCAUU
rnacentral:rRNA from 1 species